rnacentral:rRNA from 1 species
AUUGAACGCUGGCGGCAGGCCUAACACAUGCAAGUCGAACGAGUGGCGGACGGGUGAGUAAUGUCUGGGAAACUGCCCGAUGGAGGGGGAUAACUACUGGAAACGGUAGCUAAUACCGCAUACCAUCGGAUGUGCACAGGUGGGAUUAGCUUGUGGGUGAGGUAACGGCUAACCUAGUGAACGAUCCCUAGCUGGCAUGAGAGGAUGACCAGCCAAUCUGGAAUUGAGACACGGUCCAGACUCCUACGGGAGGCAGCAGUGGGGAAUAUUGGACAAUGGGCGCAAGCCUGAUGGAGCCAUGCCGCGGGUUGGAAGAAGGCCUUCUGGUUGUAAAGUACUUUCAGCGGGGAGGCGGUACCCGCAGAAGAAGCAACGGCUAACUCCGUGCCAGCAGCCGCGGUAAUAC